rnacentral:rRNA from 1 species
CGGGUGAGUAACGCGUGGGUAACCUGCCUCGUACAGGGGGAUAACAGUUAGAAAUGACUGCUAAUACCGCAUGAGCGCACAGUGCUGCAUGGCACAGUGUGAAAAACCCCGGUGGUAUGAGAUGGACCCGCGUCUGAUUAGCUAGUUGGUGGGGUAACGGCCUACCAAGGCGACGAUCAGUAGCCGGCCUGAGAGGGUGAACGGCCACAUUGGGACUGAGACACGGCCCAA